GGGGUUGUGGCUCAGUGGUAGAGUGCUUGCCUAGCAGGCCCUGGGUUCAAUCCUCAGCACCACA
rnacentral:tRNA from 1 species